rnacentral:rRNA from 1 species
GGUUAAGCGACUAAGCGUACACGGUGGAUGCCCUGGCAGUCAGAGGCGAUGAAGGGCGUGCUAAUCUGCGAUAAGCGCCGGUAAGGUGAUAUGAACCGUUAUAACCGGCGAUACCCGAAUGGGGAAACCCAGUGUGACUCGUCACACUAUCAUUAACUGAAUCCAUAGGUUAAUGAGGCGAACCGGGGGAACUGAAACAUCUAAGUACCCCGAGGAAAAGAAAUCAACCGAGAUUCCCCCAGUAGCGGCGAGCGAACGGGGAGGAGCCCAGAGCCUGAAUCAGCAUGUGUGUUAGUGGAAGCGUCUGGAAAGACGCGCGAUACAGGGUGACAGCCCCGUACACAAAAGCGCAUGUGCUGUGAGCUCGAUGAGUAGGGCGGGACACGUGGUAUCCUGUCUGAAUAUGGGGGGACCAUCCUCCAAGGCUAAAUACUCCUGACUGACCGAUAGUGAACCAGUACCGUGAGGGAAAGGCGAAAAGAACCCCGGCGAGGGGAGUGAAAAAGAACCUGAAACCGUGUACGUACAAGCAGUGGGAGCACCCUUUGGGGUGUGACUGCGUACCUUUUGUAUAAUGGGUCAGCGACUUAUAUUCUGUAGCAAGGUUAACCGUAUAGGGGAGCCGUAGGGAAACCGAGUCUUAACCGGGCGUUAAGUUGCAGGGUAUAGACCCGAAACCCGGUGAUCUAGCCAUGGGCAGGUUGAAGGUUGGGUAACACUAACUGGAGGACCGAACCGACUAAUGUUGAAAAAUUAGCGGAUGACCUGUGGCUGGGGGUGAAAGGCCAAUCAAACCGGGAGAUAGCUGGUUCUCCCCGAAAGCUAUUUAGGUAGCGCCUCGUGAAUUCAUCUCCGGGGGUAGAGCACUGUUUCGGCUAGGGGGCCAUCCCGGCUUACCAACCCGAUGCAAACUGCGAAUACCGGAGAAUGUUAUCACGGGAGACACACGGCGGGUGCUAACGUCCGUCGUGAAGAGGGAAACAACCCAGACCGCCAGCUAAGGUCCCAAAGUCAUGGUUAAGUGGGAAACGAUGUGGGAAGGCCCAGACAGCCAGGAUGUUGGCUUAGAAGCAGCCAUCAUUUAAAGAAAGCGUAAUAGCUCACUGGUCGAGUCGGCCUGCGCGGAAGAUGUAACGGGGCUAAACCAUGCACCGAAGCUGCGGCAGCGAACGUAUCACUUAAAGCGAUUCAGCGGGUUACGAUUGACGGAGCGAAGCGACGUCAAAGCGUAUACAAAGUCGAGUCGGUUUAAGGAUACGUUCGUUGGGUAGGGGAGCGUUCUGUAAGCCUGUGAAGGUGGCCUGUGAGGGUUGCUGGAGGUAUCAGAAGUGCGAAUGCUGACAUAAGUAACGAUAAAGCGGGUGAAAAGCCCGCUCGCCGGAAGACCAAGGGUUCCUGUCCAACGUUAAUCGGGGCAGGGUGAGUCGACCCCUAAGGCGAGGCCGAAAGGCGUAGUCGAUGGGAAACAGGUUAAUAUUCCUGUACUUGGUGUUACUGCGAAGGGGGGACGGAGAAGGCUAUGUUGGCCGGGCGACGGUUGUCCCGGUUUAAGCGUGUAGGUGUGUGUUCCAGGUAAAUCCGGUUCACUUUAACACUGAGGCGUGAUGACGAGGCACUACGGUGCUGAAGCAACAAAUGCCCUGCUUCCAGGAAAAGCCUCUAAGCAUCAGGUAACAUCAAAUCGUACCCCAAACCGACACAGGUGGUCAGGUAGAGAAUACCAAGGCGCUUGAGAGAACUCGGGUGAAGGAACUAGGCAAAAUGGUGCCGUAACUUCGGGAGAAGGCACGCUGACACGUAGGUGAAGUGAUUUACUCAUGGAGCUGAAGUCAGUCGAAGAUACCAGCUGGCUGCAACUGUUUAUUAAAAACACAGCACUGUGCAAACACGAAAGUGGACGUAUACGGUGUGACGCCUGCCCGGUGCCGGAAGGUUAAUUGAUGGGGUCAGCGCAAGCGAAGCUCCUGAUCGAAGCCCCGGUAAACGGCGGCCGUAACUAUAACGGUCCUAAGGUAGCGAAAUUCCUUGUCGGGUAAGUUCCGACCUGCACGAAUGGCGUAAUGAUGGCCAGGCUGUCUCCACCCGAGACUCAGUGAAAUUGAACUCGCUGUGAAGAUGCAGUGUACCCGCGGCAAGACGGAAAGACCCCGUGAACCUUUACUAUAGCUUGACACUGAACAUUGAGCCUUGAUGUGUAGGAUAGGUGGGAGGCUUUGAAGCGUGGACGCCAGUCUGCGUGGAGCCGACCUUGAAAUACCACCCUUUAAUGUUUGAUGUUCUAACGUGGACCCGUAAUCCGGGUUGCGGACAGUGUCUGGUGGGUAGUUUGACUGGGGCGGUCUCCUCCUAAAGAGUAACGGAGGAGCACGAAGGUUGGCUAAUCCUGGUCGGACAUCAGGAGGUUAGUGCAAUGGCAUAAGCCAGCUUGACUGCGAGCGUGACGGCGCGAGCAGGUGCGAAAGCAGGUCAUAGUGAUCCGGUGGUUCUGAAUGGAAGGGCCAUCGCUCAACGGAUAAAAGGUACUCCGGGGAUAACAGGCUGAUACCCCCAAGAGUUCAUAUCGACGGCGGUGUUUGGCACCUCGAUGUCGGCUCAUCACAUCCUGGGGCUGAAGUAGGUCCCAAGGGUAUGGCUGUUCGCCAUUUAAAGUGGUACGCGAGCUGGGUUUAGAACGUCGUGAGACAGUUCGGUCCCUAUCUGCCGUGGGCGCUGGAGAACUGAGGGGGGCUGCUCCUAGUACGAGAGGACCGGAGUGGACGCAUCACUGGUGUUCGGGUUGUCAUGCCAAUGGCACUGCCCGGUAGCUAAAUGCGGAAGAGAUAAGUGCUGAAAGCAUCUAAGCACGAAACUUGCCCCGAGAUGAGUUCUCCCUGAGACUUAGAGUCUCCUGAAGGAACGUUGAAGACGACGACGUUGAUAGGCCGGGUGUGUAAGCGCAGCGAUGCGUUGAGCUAACCGGUACUAAUGAACCGUGAGGCUUAACCUU